GCCGUGUCUUUCCUGCUCUGUCUGUUCUCUCUGCUAAAUUUUCUCUCUACCUGUUUUUCACUCUUUGGCUUGCUGCUGAAAAAUGCACAAGCCAAUAAAGCAAUAAAGAGUGCAUAUUUUGCCUCAACCUAUGAACAAACUGAACAAACAAAGAAAACUCUAAUUCACGGUUUGAUUGUGAUUCGCCAGCCGUGUCUUUCCUGCUCUGUCUGUUCUUUCUGCUAAAUUUUCUCUCUACCUGUUUUUCACUCUUGGCUUGCUGCUGAAAAAUGCCAAGCCAUUAAAGCAAUAAAGAGUGCAUAUAUUGCCUCUACCUGAGAACAAACUGAACAAACAAAGAAAACUCUAAUUCACGGUUUGAUUGUGAUUUCCCAGCCGUGUCUCUCCUGCUCUGCCUGUUCUCUCUUCUAGAUUUUCUCUCUACCUGUUUUUCAUUCUGGGCUUGCUGCUAAGUUCCAAUAAAGCAAUAAAGAGUGCAUAUUUUGCCUCAACCUUUGAACAAACUGAACAAACAAAGAAAACUCUACGGUUUGAUUUCAAAACCGUGUCUUUCCUGCUCUCUCUGUUCUCUCUGCUAAAUUUUCUCUCUACCUGUUUUUCACUCUUUGGCUUGCUGCUGAGAAAUGCACAAGCCAAUAAAGCAAUAAAGAGUGCAUAUUUUGCCUCAACCUUUGAACAAACUGAACAAAGAAAACUCUGCGGUUUGAUUUCCAAGCCGUGUCUCUCCUGCUCUGCCUGUUCUCUCUGCUAAAUUUUCUCUCUACCUGUUUUUCACUCUUGGCUUGCUGCUGAAAAAUGCCAAGCCAUUAAAGCAAUAAAGAGUGCAUAUUGCCUCUACCUGAGAACAAACUGAACAAAUAAAGAAAACUCUAAUUCACGGUCUGAUUGUGAUUUCCCAGCCGUGUCUCUCCUGCUCUGUCUAUUCUCUCUUCUAAAUUUUCUCUCUACCUGUUUUUCAUUCUGGACUUGCUGCUAAGUUGUGCCAAGCCUAUAAAGAGAGUACAUA
ensembl:lncRNA